rnacentral:sRNA from 1 species
GCCACGCCUUACCCAACGGGGGACAACCGGGACACCCCGACCCGGCGGCGCUGGCUUCUUUUCGGGGG